UUUUUUUUUUCUCUUUAGGGCGGCACCCGCGGCAUAUGGAGGUUCCCAGUCUAGGGGUCCAAUCAGAGCUGUGGCUGCCGGCCUACACCACAGUCACAGCAUCGCCAGAUCCAAGCCGUGUUUGAGACCUACACCACAGCUCACGGCAAUGCCGGAUCCUUAAACCACUGAGUGAGGCCAGGGAUCGAACCCGCAUCAUCAUGGAUACUAGUUGGGUUUGUUAACUGCUGAGCCACAGCGGGAACCCCCAGAACAGUGUCUUGAUUGAAAGAAUAUAGUCCACUGAAACUAAAGACAUUUAAAAAUAAGUCAACAACUUUAUUUUUCUCGAGCAUCAUUUCUUGAAGAGACUUCCUGUUAAUCCUUCAUUUUAAUUUGUCUGGUUUUAAACCUACAGAAGCCAUACAAACAUUUGAUACAUUUCAGUAAAUGGAAGGAGAGGAAUCACAUAUAUUUCCAACAAACUGAACAAUGAUAAAAUUUCAUGCAUCUCUGCCUAGUCUUUAUUUCACAUGUUUAAUGAGUCAUGGCUUUUUAAUUUGACAUAAGCGUUAGAGUGCAUUAUUGCAACUUAGUCAUAAAUUCUAUUGUAAAUGAACACAAUAUUCGAUUAGAUGUAUCACCAAAAGUUAUGUAAUCUAUCCCCUGCUACUAAGCUUUUAGGUUAUUCCUGAUUGUUCCUAGAACAGAUCCUACUGCCAUGCAUGCCUUCAAGUAUAUGCUUGGUUGAUAUACUUGGUUGAUUUCCUCCUAUUCGAUUAUUUUUUUUGCAAUAGGUUUUACAAGCUUUUUGGGUUUUUGUAGUGGUUGUUUUUUUUUGUUUUGGGUUUUGGCUGCACCCACGGCAUAUGGAAAUUCCCAGGCCAGGGAUCAAACUCACUCCAUGGCCAUUGCUGCGGUGACAACACUGGAUUCCCUAACCCGCUGCACCAAAAGGGAGUUCAAGUUUAUCAAUCUAUCUGUGAUGGAUGGAUCGAUUGAUCUAUCAUCUUUUUAGCAGCAACAUGGGAUCUGAGCCAUCUCUGUGACUUUCACCACAGCUCACAGCAAUGCUGGAUCUUUAACCCACCGAGCAAGGCCCAGGAUCGAAACGGCAUCCCCACGGAUGCUAGUCAGUUUCAUUUUUGCUGAGCCAUGAUGGGAACUCCAAGUUUUACUAAUUGACAUGACCACUGGCCAUGUUCAGUUUCAAUAUACAGACUGUGAAUUAAUUUACAUUUUUAGAUGCGCGUGAAUCUUUUUCUGUGUUUUUCUAGUUACAUCUCCAUUUGGUCCUUCGUGCAUGGAUUUGGCAGGUCUCAAUGUAUUUCCUUUCCGUCGGCGUGACGCAUCUUCAGAUGACAAAAACAGUCAUUCUUUGUCUUUCGUUAGCCCUUGUGUGCUUUCAGGUCAGGGCCAAUGAGGAGUCCAGACACGUUCAGGGGAUGGUGAGCACACAACAGGCACGGAGCAUGCGCUCAGUUGAUAUUUGCUAAGGUAAGUGAAGGCAUCUUUGCUUCCAGUAUCUCCCCCAUCUAUCGUUGCGGUCUGUGCUUUGUGCAUAGAAGGCCUUCAUAAAUAUCGAUUGUUUAUGAUGAUAAUAACGACAUACGGCAUAUUUAUGUUUAGUGGCAGCUGUCACUAAGAGCCCCCGAUUUAGUUAUUUCAGUCUGACCAUCUUAACCCACUGAGCC
rnacentral:lncRNA from 1 species